GCGAAGGCGCGAUGUUUUCGAGUUUUCAUAUUAUUAUGAUAAAUAAAACUUUCCUAGUGAGAUUUAAGAGUGGGUAUAUAUUAUCUAUGCAUUCUACGAGCUUUCUUUCAACAAAUUGUGGAAUAGCUAACGGUAAUACUUAUCAAAGAUCGAAGGACGAAGAUCAAACUGAGAGAAAACUAGUCGAGUGAUCUGUCUUUAAACUGUCUAUUUUGUAUCCAAUGCAGCUGCUUGUGUGCGACGUUUUAUAAAGAAUUAAAUAAACAUUGUUGAUUAUAAGUAAUUUUUAUGUAUUGACCAAAGAAUAUCACUUGGGAUUUUAUUGUACUUUUUAUAUGGAAGGAUAAAUCAGAGGGGACAUCUAUGGAAACGAAAUUCUUCAUGUGUAUUAAACAUGUAGUUAUCAAAGCAGAAUAUUUUGAAACAAUUAACUGGUCGAGUGACAGGUUGGUUUCCGUAUGUAUGUAGUUUAAAAUACAGUUGUGAAUGAAAUUAUACACAGUAUCUUGAAACCUUUGUGUGUGUGAGUUAAUUUCAUAUUUAUUUUUUUGGGAUGUAUCAUCUAUAUUUCUGUUUGUC